rnacentral:rRNA from 1 species
GACGAACGCUGGCGGCGUGCUUAACACAUGCAAGUCGAACGGAAAGGCCCUGCUUUUGUGGGGUGCUCGAGUGGCGAACGGGUGAGUAACACGUGAGUAACCUGCCCUUGACUUUGGGAUAACUUCAGGAAACUGGGGCUAAUACCGGAUAGGAGCUCCUGCUGCAUGGGGGGGGUUGGAAAGUUUCGGCGGUUGGGGAUGGACUCGCGGCUUAUCAGCUUGUUGGUGGGGUAGUGGCUUACCAAGGAUUUGACGGGUAGCCGGCCUGAGAGGGUGACCGGCCACAUUGGGAAUGGGAUGCGGCCCAGACGCAUACGGGAGGCAGGAGUGGGGAAUAUUGCACAAUGGGCGGAAGCCUGAUGCAGCAACGCCGCGUGCGGGAUGACGGCCUUCGGGUUGUAAACCGCUUUCGCCUGUGACGAAGCGUGAGUGACGGUAAUGGGCAAAGAAGCACCGGCUAACUACGU